CGGUGUGAUCAUACCAGCACUAAUGCACCGGAUCCCAUUAAACAUGCUUGGACGAGAGUAGUACUAAGAUCGGUGACCUCUUGGGAAGUCCUCAUGUUGCACCCC
rnacentral:rRNA from 1 species